rnacentral:rRNA from 1 species
UACGUAGGAUGCAAGCGUUGUCCGGAAUUAUUGGGCGUAAAGAGUUCGUAGGCGGUUGCCUAAGUCUGGUGUUAAAUACAGGAGCUCAACUCCUGCAUGGCACUGGAAACUGGGCAGCUAGAGUGUGGUAGAGGUCACGGGAAUUCCAGGUGUAGCGGUGAAAUGCGUAGAUAUCUGGAGGAACACCAGUGGCGAAAGCGACUUCCUGGACCAGUACCGACGUUCAGGCACGAAAGCGUGGGGAGCAAACAGG